rnacentral:rRNA from 1 species
UACGAAGGGGGCUAGCGUUGUUCGGAAUUACUGGGCGUAAAGCGCACGUAGGCGGCUAUUUAUGUCAGGGGUGAAAUCCCAGAGCUCAACUCUGGAACUGCCUUUGAUACUGGGUAUCUUGAGUAUGGAAGAGGUAAGUGGAAUUGCGAGUGUAGAGGUGAAAUUCGUAGAUAUUCGCAGGAACACCAGUGGCGAAGGCGGCUUACUGGUCCAGUACUGACGCUGAGGUGCGAAAGCGUGGGGAGCAAACAGG